CUUUCUAGUGUUUAUGCUUUGAUUAUGGCAUUCAUCACUCUCUCUCUCUUCCUUGAUUCUCUGAUACUGCAUUGGAGAGGUGAAUUUUGGUGGUUUUUUUUCUCUCUGAUUAGGGGAUUUUAGCGUGAUCUGGUGGAUCGAAAUUGUUUUGAACAACAUGCCACUGAAUCAUUAUAAGGUUAGGGUUUUUUCUUCUUUUUUUUUUCUAGUUAGGGUUUUGGAUCCUCUGAUUUUAUUCUCAUGCGACGGUAAAGUGGUAAAUAGUGUUGGAAUGGUCUGGUGGCAUUUGUGCUUGUAUUCAAAUGGAGUUUGAGCUGCUUCUGGUGUCUGGAUCUUGUGCAAGGCUUGAAUUCUGGGUUUUGGAGGUUUUAGGGUAUCUACCUUAGCAGCUGCGACAUGGGGAAAUCUCCAGGAAAAUGGAUCAAGAUGGUUUUGUUCGGGAAGAAAUCUUCCAGAUCUGGAGCAUCGAAAGGAAGAGAGGCUUUGAUCUUUUGAGGGAGAUGUUUGUGAACCAAAGGGAAUGAACUUUGUGCUUUGGAUUUUGCCAUGGAAGGUGGCAGUGAUCUGGAAGGGAGUCAGUUUCUGAGGUUUUUCUUUUCUCCAUUUUCGUUUUUUUUU